rfam:Friedmanniella sagamiharensis strain DSM 21743 genome assembly, chromosome: I
AGCAGUACGUGCCGAGCGGCUCCACCCCGCGGCCGGCGCCCUGGCACCCCUUCCCCGGUGCCAGGUCGCCGCCCGGCCUCGGGUUGGAACCACCCGGCACGUCCUGCACCAG